UACAGAGGGGGCAAGCGUUAUUCGGAAUUAUUGGGCGUAAAGGGCGCGUAGGCGGCCUGGCAAGUGGAAGGUGAAAUCCCUCGGCUUAACCGAGGAACUGCCCUCCAAACUGCUUGGCUUGAGUCCGGGAGAGGUGAGUGGAAUUCCCAGUGUAGCGGUGAAAUGCGUAGAUAUGUGGAGGAACACCGAUGGCGAAGGCAGCCCCCUGGGUCAAGAUUGACGCUCAUGCACGAAAGCGUGGGGAGCAAACAGG
rnacentral:rRNA from 1 species